CUUCUUAGCCUUUCUUUUUCUGGUAAACUUUUUUCUUAUUUGAUCUUUCACAGAAAGCCUUGUUAUUAUAUCAUAUAUGUAAGGAAACUUCAUUUGUGAAUCCAGGUUCUGCGAAGCCAGCUCAUGCUUCUACGGAGUUCAAAGACACAGAAAGCAGCUGCUGCUGUAGGAGCUUCAGAUGUCAAGGGAAAAGCAAUUUCGUUUGAGAGUUCUCAAAAAGGACAGGCUGAAGGUGCAGAUACUUAAGGCUUGAUCAUCUGUAUAUAAAGUGCAAGUUGAAUUGUGGACAUUCAGUUAGAAUGGCAGCUGAACAAUGCUAUUUGUUAGAGGAUCUGUCAGUUGUGUUUUCUCUAGCGAUCUGGAAAUAGUUAUAUUGCUGGUCAGACAGGUUCUUGAAUUGGCCUCCUUAUUUCAGCACCAGGAAUAGGUGUUAUAUGUACAGGGCAUUGGCUUGUUGUGAGGAAAUAAUGAUUGUUUACUGGUGGAAAUAGUGGUGUAUUUUCUCAUAGAGAUGCAGUAAGUAUGAUAUUUGGUCAGUGAUAUGCAAGGGAAAUUGGCACAAACUCAUUUUUUGAGAAAGCAAAUGGUUCUCUCUCAUUUGUUCUGCAGAUUCAGAGAUCUUAUUUGUCAGAAUAAUGUAUAAGUUGGUGAUUCCUCUAGCUUGUUCCCAACUCGCUUUUAUUGCAGUCAACUUGUUGAAUGUAGUUCUAUAUAGUUUAAUGGAUAUUUUCUAUGCAAUAAUAAUUCUGGUCCCAUUGCUUCCCAA